GCAUUGCCCUGCAUCUUGUGUAGUUCUUUAGCAUUUUCUACCCAUUUUGCACAGAUGUAAAUAACUACACAAGGUGCAGGGCAGUGGAAGUG
rnacentral:ncRNA from 2 species